rnacentral:rRNA from 1 species
CAGCCGCCACGGGAAUACGUAGGGUGCGAGCGUUAAUCGGAAUUACUGGGCGUAAAGCGUGCGCAGGCGGUUCGUUAAGACAGAUGUGAAAUCCCCGGGCUUAACCUGGGAACUGCAUUUGUGACUGGCGAGCUAGAGUAUGGCAGAGGGGGGUAGAAUUCCACGUGUAGCAGUGAAAUGCGUAGAGAUGUGGAGGAAUACCGAUGGCGAAGGCAGCCCCCUGGGCCAAUACUGACGCUCAUGCACGAAAGCGUGGGGAGCAAACAGGAUUAGAUACCCGCGUAGUCCCUGUCUCUUAUAC